GGACUGACCUGGCCGGAGACAGGCUGACACGGCUACAGUACCAGAGACUGGAGAAGCUGAGAAAUACAGCUUCGCAGGCAUCUUAGGAGCGUUAUUGAGGUAUAAUUGACAACACUGUAAGAUCUUUAAAGUACAACGUGACAAUUUGCUAUACAUAUGCAACGCGGAAGGACUCCCUUUCCCAAGUCAUCAUAGGGUAUGGAUUAUGCUUUUUGUCUAAAAAAGAUAAAGAAAAGUAACAAAAGCAACAACAACAGAUCAACGAUGCUCCUCUAAGUAUCAAUCGGGAAGCACAUGUGGAUGAGCCCUGUGGCCAGAGGUAUGGUGAGAUCCGGCUGCAUCGGUCAGGAGAGGUUAACUGCUGUGACGGUCAGUGCCCAGCACUAAAAGUCCACUUUCACACAUGAAAAUGUGCUGUUCCUGGCCAGCCGGCCCUCCCAUUUGACUCUUUUCCAAGCAAUUACUCAGGACCCAGGCUCCUUCAACCUUGUGUCUUGACCAUCCCCAAGGGCAGUAGAGCCCUCAGAUUCCUAAGUUCCCAGAUGGCAAGAAACCAAGGGAGUGGAGGAUGGUGUGGGAGGGUAGUGCCUGGGCAGUGUCGUCUGGCUUUAUACCCCAAAGGAAAAGGAAAUGGUCAGUGAACACAUGGCAAUCACGACCACCAUAGCCAAAAUAAACAACAAUUAAUUUUCAAAGUGUUCCCAUCUACACCUACUUUCCUGGGACAGCAACCCUGGAAAUAAAAU